rnacentral:lncRNA from 1 species
CCAGUUCAUGUUACUUGAAUUUACCGCUGUAUGGCUGAUAAGUUAGGCUUCUAAAAUCCCCCACCUCCUACCCUCCUCUUAAGUGUCAGAUGCCCUUCAAGAGUUGAACAACCACCAAGUUCAAGACAUUCCAUUAUGCUGAGAUUGCAGAUGCUUCUCGGAAGAUAUGUGAGGCUCUGGUAGUUACCUAAUUCAAUCUUAACAACUUUUCUCAGGGACUGAUGGAUUCAGCUAAUGUCUUGAUAUCUCAUAUUAACCACGCCAUCCAGGUUUCAAAUUGUACUUCUAUUAAACCUCGUACAAUUUAAUCUGAAUCUUACCUACCAUUGAAUUUAAUGGAGGUUGAAAUCCGUCUAUCUGUAACAUAAGCUUGUUGUAAAAGUGCCAGGGCAAAAUGCUCAAAAAUGAAACUCAAAUCAUUGGUCAUUUUGGAUUUCUCAUGUGACCCAUCGCCAAAUAUCUGAAGAAGAAUAGAUCUUCAUAAUAAUGAUCCAAAUUCAUCAGAAGAAUCAUCAG